UACGUAGGGUGCAAGCGUUGUCCGGAAUUAUUGGGCGUAAAGAGCUCGUAGGCGGUCUGUCGCGUCGGCUGUGAAACCCCGGGGCUCAACUCCGGGCCUGCAGUCGAUACGGGCAGACUAGAGUUCGGUAGGGGAGACUGGAAUUCCUGGUGUAGCGGUGAAAUGCGCAGAUAUCAGGAGGAACACCGGUGGCGAAGGCGGGUCUCUGGGCCGAUACUGACGCUGAGGAGCGAAAGCGUGGGGAGCAAACAGG
rnacentral:rRNA from 1 species